ensembl:misc_RNA
GAUUCAGAAUCCAUAGCUAGAAGAGGUAAUAGGCCAUUGGGAGGGCCUGCUUCUCCUCAGCCCGCCCCCACCCCGUGUGGGUCUCCAUUCUGAAAUUUCCAUUCAGG